UACGUAGGGUGCAAGCGUUAAUCGGAAUUACUGGGCGUAAAGCGUGCGCAGGCGGUUUUGUAAGUCUGUCGUGAACGCCCCGGGCUCAACCUGGGAAUUGCGAUGGAGACUGCAAGGCUUGAAUCUGGCAGAGGGGGGUAGAAUUCCACGUGUAGCAGUGAAAUGCGUAGAGAUGUGGAGGAACACCGAUGGCGAAGGCAGCCCCCUGGGUCAAGAUUGACGCUCAUGCACGAAAGCGUGGGGAGCAAACAGG
rnacentral:rRNA from 1 species